GUUAAAAAGCUCGUAGUUGGAUUUCGGAACCGGCCGAUUGGUCCGUCCUCUGGAUCGUGUACUGAUCGGUCUGUUCUUCUUCGCGAAGACCGCGUGUGCUCUUAACUGAGUGGGCGUGGGAUUCGCGACGUUUACUUUGAAAAAAUUAGAGUGUUCAAAGCAGGCAGUCGCUUGAAUAUCUCAGCAUGGAAUAAUAGAAUAGGACUUUGGUCUUAUUUUGUUGGUUUCCGAGACCGAAGUAAUGAUUAAUAGGGACAGUUGGGGGCAUUCGUAUUUCAUUGUCAGAGGUGAAAUUCUUGGAUUUAUGAAAGACGAACUUCUGCGAAAGCAUUUGCCAAGGAUGUUUUCAUUAAUCAAGAACGAAAGUUGGAGGCUCGAAGGCGAUCAGAUACCGUCCUAGUUCCAACCAUAAACGAUGCCGUCUGCGGAUCGGAGGUCGCUCAUGUAAGGCUCCUUCGGCACGCUAUGAGAAAUCAAAGACUUCGGGUUCCGGGGGGAGUAUGUUCGCAAGAAUGAAACUUAAAGGAAUUGACGGAAGGGCACCACCAGGAGUGGAACCUGCGGUUUAAUUUGACUCAACACGGGAAAAACUCACC
rnacentral:rRNA from 1 species